UGGGGAAUUUUGCGCAAUGGGCGAAAGCCUGACGCAGCAACGCCGCGUGGGUGAUGAAGUCCCUUGGGAUGUAAAACCCUGUCAGCUGGGACGAAACGACCCGCAAGGGUCCUGACUGUACCAGCAGAGGAAGCCCCGGCUAACUCCGUGCCAGCAGCCGCGGUAAUACGGGGGGGGCAAGCGUUGUUCGGAAUUACUGGGCGUAAAGGGCGUGUAGGCGGCCUAGCAAGUCAGCUGUGAAAGCCCCAGGCUCAACCUGGGAAUUGCAUCUGAAACUGCCGGGCUAGAGUUCAGGAGAGGAGGGCGGAACUCCCAGUGUAGCGGUGAAAUGCGUAGAUAUUGGGAGGAACACCGGUGGCGAAGGCGGCUCUCUGGACUGAAACUGACGCUGAGGCGCGAAAGCCAGGGGAGCGAACGGG
rnacentral:rRNA from 1 species